rnacentral:rRNA from 1 species
UCAUCCUACGGGGGGCAGCAGUGGGGAAUAUUGCACAAUGGGGGAAACCCUGAUGCAGCGACGCCGCGUGAGCGAUGAAGUAUUUCAGUAUGUAAAGCUCUGUCAGCAGGGAAGAAAAUGACGGUACCUGACCAAGAAGCCCCCGCUAACUACGUGCCAGCAGCCGCCGUAAUACGUAGGGGGCAAGCGUUAUCCGGAUUUACUGGGUGUAAAGGGAGCGUAGACGGCAGGGCAAGUCUGGAGUGAAAGCC